rnacentral:lncRNA from 1 species
UAGAAUCGGACACAAAAAAGGACACUUCUAUAUGUCCAAGCAUUAGUUCAAAGGCUAGAACCCAUUGAAUUGCAUUGAUCAGUCAUAAAAUUUUACUAAUUACAUCACCAUUGUAAGUAUGCGUAGUCAUAAAUUGAAGACUUUUUGUAUAAAUCACUGUUGUCACUGUUUUCUGCAAAGAAAAAGGGCCCCAAAAACUUCUGAAUGUGACAAAGCACAUCAGAAUGUUCAUCUUUGGAUACUUAAAUGGCAUGAAGAUUUUCUAAUAUCCAUAGCCUGCAUUUAUGAAGAUUAUCCUCUUUCAUAUGUAAAACAUUGCUUCAUCAUUAAAUCUCAAUCUCCAAAGAUAAUUUUCAUCAGCUUCAAUUUUAAAUAAAAUGUGUUGGGCAAAUUUGGAAAUGGCAGGGUUUAUAAAGUUCUGGCUAUAAAGUUUGCACAAUCUGUAAUUCGUAGGCACAGACUUAGAUAGUUAUGAAUAAUUCUCCAAAUAGUCAUUUAUGGUAUACUUAACUGCAGAUAACUUCUAGUUGAUAUUUGUGGGUUUGAGAAAAUGCUUUUUGGAUUCAUUCAUCUUCCUAUGUGUGUUCAGUUAUCUCACUCAUUUUUGAUGCUGUACACUACAGUUUCUUGAAAUUACUUUAACCAACAUCAGAUGUCAUUAUUUAAUGGUGG